UAUGUUCCUGAACCUGUUGAAUUGUUACCAAGAGAAUUUAUUGAGGUUGCCACACCUGGGAAAGUGCAAGAGGCCGAGAUGGAUAGAGCAAAGGAGGCAACCUGAUCUGAGUCCUGACGAAUCUGGAAUCAAGAACGAUUGCAUCAGAGGAUUCAGGGUGUCGAAUAUCCAGGGAAGGUGAGAGG